UGCCUUGAAAGAAUAGGUAAACAAUGCAUUAAAAAAAAAAAAAAGGAGUAAUUUUGGGAAGACAGCUUCUACAGAAGCUUCUCCUUUUAAUUGCUCCCAAGCCUCAAUCUCAAUUCUCUGAUCUUUCUGAAGGUCGUUAAUCUGAAACCAAGACAAGAGACUCAAAUUUAAGAGUGAUGAUCUUGAUGAUCAACAGGUUCUAGAAAAUUGUUAAUCUUGAGGUGAUUUCAAAAUCUUUGCUGUGAAGAUUGUAAUUGAGGUUAGAGAAUUUCUAUUGCAGAAUAUUAAUUAUAGUGUUUGUGUAUUUGCACAAUACUCAAAUUGCAAUUAAUGCUCCUUCAUGUAGCAAAUGAGCUUGGUGCAGGCAACACAGAAGGUGCCAAAUUUGCAACUGCAGUAUCUGUGAUUACCUCUCUAGCAGUUGGAUUUUGCUUUUGGUCAAUUAUUAUGGCCAUUUAUGAAACACUUACAAUGAUCUUCACCUCAAGUUCUUCUGUUAUUACAAUGGUUAAUAAGUUCUCAGCCUUACUGGUGUCGCAAUCAGAUUUGUUUGGCAAGGUGUAGUGGCAUUUGUAAACAUAGGUAGCUAUUAUAUAGUUGGAGUUCCUCUUGGUGUCUUUUUGGGACGGCUUCAAUUUGGCAUCACGGCCAUGUUAAGGUGCAGUCAGCCCAUACCUUGUAGUACCUUCAACAAUGAUGGGUCAAUACGUGCAUACUCGGUUUCUGCUUUUCUGCAAUACUGACUUUCUCUUUAACUGGAAAAAGAUUUGUACUGUGAUUCUCACAUUGAAUUUGCUAUAGGUUUGUUAUGAUUAGAGUAAGGGUGCUAAAAAUCACAACCCUUCAACAGCAAAGACAUACAUUUUCCUGCACUUGCCUCAGGUUUGCUAUCUUUGACUGUCGGUUCAAGAGAUAAUGCAUGGUAAGUAUUGAAAAAACCAAUUACUUCUGUUUCACAUGCUUUUAAUUUUGGUUCUGAAUGUUCCAAGAUAGCUUCAUAUGUGAGAAACUGCAUUCCCAUUCCAAGAUGCUUAUCCAGUAGGUAAAAUUCUCCAACCAAUUUUACUUUUCGAUUCCUAUUGUUGUAUCUUUCAUGUUUUGCAUUGGCUUGGAUGUUGAACCUUGAUAUGGUCACAGUUGAUGGCUAGAUGCAGUUGAUUUGAGAACUAUAUCUGUUUUCUCAGCUCUUUCCUAUUCUAUUUAUAUUUUUUCUGAGAUUAUUUCUCAAUAGCUUAUCAAAUACUAAUUUUAACUGUUGGCAAUAGCUUUUUUUUUUUUUAAUACAUGUCCGAAAAGUAAUUUGCUUUGGAUUGGUAGCUAUAGCAUACAUUGCUCUUUCAGUCUAUUGUCAAUACUGAUUUUAUGAAGACAUGUGUGGUAAGGUUUCCAAUUUAGAAAAAGAUCUAAGAAUUGUAGACAUUCCAUUUUAUUG